AAGGAAUACAAAAUUUGGAUUCAAUUCCAUCUUACAUUGGCGAUUACCAGAGUUUGGUGCAUCUGGAUCUGAGUUUCAACAAUCUAGUGGACAGAUUCCCAGCUUGCUUUUCAAUUUGAGUUCGCUAACUCAUCUGUUUCUUGGAAAUAAUAACUUAAAUGGUACCCUCC